GAUAAAACAGCAGUGUAAAGUGAGCCGCAGGGCGCUUUGCGCGACAGCGCAAAGGCAGGCGGUUUCGCGUAGCGAAAGCGAAUGCUUUGGGGUGGGGUGACUGCGUACCUUUUGUAUAAUGGGUCAGCGACUUAUAUUCUGUAGCAAGGUUAACCGAAUAGGGGAGCCGGAGGGAAACCGAGUCUUAAUUGGGCGUUAAGUUGCAGGGUAUAGACCCGAAACCCGGUGAUCUAGCCAUGGGCAGGUUGAAGGUUGGGUAACACUAACUGGAGGACCGAACCGACUAAUGUUGAAAAAUUAGCGGAUGACCUGUGGCUGGGGGUGAAAGGCCAAUCAAACCGGGAGAUAGCUGGUUCUCCCCGAAAGCUAUUUAGGUAGCGCCUCGUGAAUUCAUCUCCGGGGGUAGAGCACUGUUUCGGCUAGGGGGCCAUCCCGGCUUACCAACCCGAUGCAAACUGCGAAUACCGGAGAAUGUUAUCACGGGAGACACACGGCGGGUGCUAACGUCCGUCGUGAAGAGGGAAACAACCCAGACCGCCAGCUAAGGUCCCAAAGUCAUGGUUAAGUGGGAAACGAUGUGGGAAGGCCCAGACAGCCAGGAUGUUGGCUUAGAAGCAGCCAUCAUUUAAAGAAAGCGUAAUAGCUCACUGGUCGAGUCGGCCUGCGCGGAAGAUGUAACGGGGCUAAACCAUGCACCGAAGCUGCGGCAGCGACACUGUGUGUUGUUGGGUAGGGGAGCGUUCUGUAAGCCUGUGAAGGUGUGUCGUGAGGCAUGCUGGAGGUAUCAGAAGUGCGAAUGCUGACAUAAGUAACGAUAAAGCGGGUGAAAAGCCCGCUCGCCGGAAGACCAAGGGUUCCUGUCCAACGUUAAUCGGGGCAGGGUGAGUCGACCCCUAAGGCGAGGCCGAAAGGCGUAGUCGAUGGGAAACGGGUUAAUAUUCCCGUACUUGGUGUUACUGCGAAGGGGGGACGGAGAAGGCUAUGUUGGCCGGGCGACGGUUGUCCCGGUUUAAGCGUGUAGGUGUGUGUUCCAGGUAAAUCCGGUUCACUUUAACACUGAGGCGUGACGACGAGGCACUACGGUGCUGAAGCAACAAAUGCCCUGCUUCCAGGAAAAGCCUCUAAGCAUCAGGUAACAUCAAAUCGUACCCCAAACCGACACAGGUGGUCAGGUAGAGAAUACCAAGGCGCUUGAGAGAACUCGGGUGAAGGAACUAGGCAAAAUGGUGCCGUAACUUCGGGAGAAGGCACGCUGACACGUAGGUGAAGUGAUUUACUCAUGGAGCUGAAGUCAGUCGAAGAUACCAGCUGGCUGCAACUGUUUAUUAAAAACACAGCACUGUGCAAACACGAAAGUGGACGUAUACGGUGUGACGCCUGCCCGGUGCCGGAAGGUUAAUUGAUGGGGUCAGCGCAAGCGAAGCUCCUGAUCGAAGCCCCGGUAAACGGCGGCCGUAACUAUAACGGUCCUAAGGUAGCGAAAUUCCUUGUCGGGUAAGUUCCGACCUGCACGAAUGGCGUAAUGAUGGCCAGGCUGUCUCCACCCGAGACUCAGUGAAAUUGAACUCGCUGUGAAGAUGCAGUGUACCCGCGGCAAGACGGAAAGACCCCGUGAACCUUUACUAUAGCUUGACACUGAACAUUGAGCCUUGAUGUGUAGGAUAGGUGGGAGGCUUUGAAGUGUGGACGCCAGUCUGCAUGGAGCCGACCUUGAAAUACCACCCUUUAAUGUUUGAUGUUCUAACGUGGACCCGUUACCCGGGUUGCGGACAGUGUCUGGUGGGUAGUUUGACUGGGGCGGUCUCCUCCUAAAGAGUAACGGAGGAGCACGAAGGUUGGCUAAUCCUGGUCGGACAUCAGGAGGUUAGUGCAAUGGCAUAAGCCAGCUUGACUGCGAGCGUGACGGCGCGAGCAGGUGCGAAAGCAGGUCAUAGUGAUCCGGUGGUUCUGAAUGGAAGGGCCAUCGCUCAACGGAUAAAAGGUACUCCGGGGAUAACAGGCUGAUACCGCCCAAGAGUUCAUAUCGACGGCGGUGUUUGGCACCUCGAUGUCGGCUCAUCACAUCCUGGGGCUGAAGUAGGUCCCAAGGGUAUGGCUGUUCGCCAUUUAAAGUGGUACGCGAGCUGGGUUUAGAACGUCGUGAGACAGUUCGGUCCCUAUCUGCCGUGGGCGCUGGAGAACUGAGGGGGGCUGCUCCUAGUACGAGAGGACCGGAGUGGACGCAUCACUGGUGUUCGGGUUGUCAUGCCAAUGGCACUGCCCGGUAGCUAAAUGCGGAAGAGAUAAGUGCUGAAAGCAUCUAAGCACGAAACUUGCCCCGA
rnacentral:rRNA from 2 species